GUGUGGCUAGCUCAAUCAGGGCCAGCUGGCCCUUAUAAGAGGGCUGUGGGCCAGGAACUGAAAGAUUCUCACUCUAGCCCUGGAAUAGGAAGGGCUAGUUGCCUGGGAGCAAAGUACCUGAAGUGGAGCCGUGAAGGGCAAGGGUAGCUGAGGAGCACCAACCUAGUAAACCUUGAUGAAGGCCUAUGAAAAGACCAGGGAAGAGAAGUAGCACUGCCCUGAGUCCCAUCUUCAGUCGGGGACAGUAGAGAAGGAACUGAGGGGGAUGCGGGUCGCAGGCGCUCAGGAAGAUUCCAACGAGACGGGAGAUACCAACUGAGCGCCUGCGUCCCGACCAGGCACUGCUACCGAAAAUCUCUGAUCAACUGUGUUGGGACGCACCGACACCUAGAGUGGAGCACCCACAGGGACAGCAUUCAAAGAAGAAUUUCAGAUAUCAGGAUCAAAGUAAGGCCAGGAUUCCAAACUCCUCUGCAUUUUGUAUCCACACGGAUUCCGUAUUCUUGCUCCUGCAGCCAUGUAAGGAGCACCCUGCAACCCUGCUGAUUCUUUCACCAGCUGGGAGUAUGGAGCAUCAUUCGCUGCCCCUGAGCCAGAGCUGUUCAGCAACGGGAUGGCCAGGGACUCCUCUGCUGGCCCUAGCAAAUAAUUAUGCUUUCCUGUACCUGUAACAAAAGGCCUACAAUUUUCUUUUUAAGCUCAAGCCUCCUAGCUGUGGGAUCUGAAGACUUUUUGGGUAAAAUUCUCUGAUUUCCACUCUUAAAUUAGGCUUGUUAAAAAUAAAUGAAGCUUUACUAUUUGGAAUCUCAACAUCUAGUGUCAUUAACUUAUUGUGUGCUACACACCCUUAAUUUCCCACAACUAUGAAAAUUCAAAUAAAAAUUGCUUAAAUUCCAUAAUUUUGGGCAACAAACUUUAAAAAUAGAUAAAAAUCCUUAAAAUAAAAAUUGAGGUUGUCAAAAUGUCAAACAUAAAAAUUGAAUUCUGCCAAGCCUCCCUGGCCCAGUCUGGAGUAAUUUCAAAUCAUUUGAUUUUUAAAGAAGUGAUUUAAUUUAACUGAUACUUUGUAACACCAAUAGAAACAUUUGUACUAUGCCAAGUUGAGAUGAAAAUUUAUAAUAAAGCAAAUGAUAAAUAAUGUGGGUUUGUUUUUUUAAUAGGCAGUAUUGGUAGGGAGUCAAUAGAAUUUUACAAAAUUUCUAAGAGGCAAAACAAAAUAUUGACAAUUAAGGCCAUAAUCAUGAAAACACAUAAGCAGGUAAUUUUACUCACAUGAAUAGUCUGCCAUAAUUAAGACUAUCAUGGCAGUUAAAGUUCAUAGAUUCAUAGAGUUUAAUGCCAGAAGGGACCACUAGACUCUAAUCUAGUCUGAGCACCUGUAUGUCAGAAGCCCUUAACUUUCAUCCUGUUAUC